CUUAUUCAUUUCAUCAAAUAAACAUCUGUAGAGGAUUUAAGUAUGAAGAUUCUCUGAACACAAAAAGAGAUAAGAUACAGAUUUGCCCUUUGGCCUAAUUGAAGAAGCAACAGAAGAAACUGAGAAUUGCACAACUAAUGGAACCCACAUUAGAAAAUCAAGUGUAAUCCAAUCAGGAGGUGAAGAGAGGCUUACGAAAGCAAUGUAUUAGAGAGGAAAGACCAGAGCAAGAUUUUGAAGAGAUAGCUUCUCUGGGACAUGGAGCCUGGAAGAAGAAGCACUGUGCAUAGACUCCAGGGGAAAAUGAAGGAACUGACAAAGGGAGCAUUCACUCUUCUGCAUUGGAGAUUGGAUUUCCUGACAUGAAAUUAUAAACUAAGUAAGAACGCUGAGUACAG